rnacentral:rRNA from 1 species
CUACGGGAGGCAGCAGUGAGGAAUAUUGGUCAAUGGAGGCAACUCUGAACCAGCCAUGCCGCGUGUAGGAAGAAUGCCCUAUGGGUUGUAAACUACUUUUAUUGGGGAAGAAACCCUCUUACGUGUAAGAGGCUGACGGUACCCAAGGAAUAAGGACCGGCUAACUCCGUGCCAGCAGCCGCGGUAAUACGGAGGGUCCAAGCGUUAUCCGGAAUCAUUGGGUUUAAAGGGUGCGCAGGCGGUAAAGUAAGUCAGUGGUGAAAUCCCUUCGCUCAACGAAGGAACUGCCAUUGAUACUGCUAUACUUGAAUAUAGUUGAAGUAGGCGGAAUGUGUAGUGUAGCGGUGAAAUGCUUAGAUAUUACACAGAACACCGAUAGCGAAGGCAGCUUACUAAACUAAUAUUGACGCUCAUGCACGAAAGCGUGGGGAGCGAACAGGAUUAGAUACCCUGGUAGU